rnacentral:rRNA from 1 species
GACGAACGCUGGCGGCGUGCUUAACACAUGCAAGUCGAACGGAAAGGCCCUGCUUGUGUGGGGUGCUCGAGUGGCGAACGGGUGAGUAACACGUGAGUAACCUGCCCUUGACUUUGGGAUAACUUCAGGAAACUGGUGCUAAUACCUGAUAGGAGCUCCUGCUGCAUGGUGGGGGUUGGAAAGUUUCGGCGGUUGGGGAUGGACUCGCGGCUUAUCAGCUUGUUGGUGGGGUAGUGGCUUACCAAGGCUUUGACGGGUAGCCGGCCUGGGAGGGUGACCGGCGACAAUGGGACUGAGAUACGGCCCAGACUCCUACGGGAGGCAGCAGUGGGGAAUAUUGCACAAUGGGCGGAAGCCUGAUGCAGCAACGCCGCGUGCGGGAUGAAGGCCUUCGGGUUGUAAACCGCUUUCGCCUGUGACGAAGCGUGAGUGACGGUAAUGGGUAAAGAAGCACCGGCUAACUACGUG